CAACUACUCCCUCUGUCCCAAAUUUGUUGUCUUAGAUUUGUCUAGAUACGGAUGUAUCUAAUACUAAAAUGUGACUUGAUACAUCUGUAUGUAGACAAAUCUAAGACAAGAAUUUUGGGACAAAGGGAGUACUUU
rnacentral:pre_miRNA from 1 species